CUCUUUAUUAAAAAUCCAGUUCAGGUGGACAGUGUCGUCCCUGAUAAGCCUGUGGGAACUGCAUAGGCUGAUCUGAGAUGACGCUUUAGCACGUGCAUUAAGUCCAGUUUUCGCAGAAUAAGACGUAUAUAAGCUCACGCACAGACGUCUUUCAGGCAACCAAAUCGUAAAGACGGCUGGAGCUCUGGACUUUGAGACAAAGGCAACGUAUAAUCUUGACGUCACGUGCACUGACGACCUUCUUCAAACCACGGAUACUUACGUCGUCAAAGUCCAAAACGUCGGUCCAAAGAUAACGAGUUUGCCGACGGCGUCUACUCUGGACGAGUGGCAGACUGCGGAAAAGCUACUCACGACGUUGACGUUAGCGGAGGACGCGGCUGACUGCGUUUAAACGUCACCGACGUAUAACGAGUUAAACGUCAAAUACGAGCCCGCCACAAAAGUUUUAAAACAUAUGGGUGAUCUACUACGUCAGCGAGGCGGUUGCGGGGCGGUCGCUUAGCUACGACACGAACCCCUUUUACAACCUGCACAUUGAGUACAGCGACGCCGCGGGGGUCAAAGGGGCGGAGAAGAUUUUCACCGUCCAUAUUAACGAUAACAAAGCACCGACGAGCGACAACCUUAGCAGUAAGUCGAACAACAUAUGCUUGAUUAAGGACGCCUUGCGAGAAUUCUUCAGCGUUAUUUAGAUACUUUAAAAAUAAAUUCUAGUAUUACUUAUAAAGUAUUGUAUCAACUUUGAUCCAUCUUUGUAUUGCGCAUUAUGUCUUUUUGUUUGCCAAACGACGUUACUUUACUGUAUUACGUUGACGUCACUUCUUGUGUUUAUGCUUCGAAUCAUACUACUGAUGACAGCUAUGGCCGAAACAUGAUUUAUG